rnacentral:rRNA from 1 species
GAGUUUGAUCCUGGCUCAGAACGAACGUUGGCGGCGUGGAUUAGGCAUGCAAGUCGGGGGAAUCCCAGCAAUGGGGGAACCGGCGUAAGGGGCAGUAAUGUGUGGGUACCUACCCUAGGGUUCGGGAUAGCCAUCAGAGAUGGUGGGUAAUACCGGAUGAUGUCGUGAGACCAAAGAUUUAUCGCCCCGGGAGGGGCCCACAUGAUAUUAGCUAGUUGGUGAGGUAACGGCUCACCAAGGCGAAGAUGUCUAGCGGGUGUGAGAGCACGACCCGCGCCACUCGCACUGAGACACUGGCGAGACACCUACGGGUGGCUGCAGUCGAGGAUCUUCGGCAAUGAGCGCAAGCUUGACCGAGCGACGCCGCGUGCGCGAUGAAGGCC